AAGUCGAACGGAAAGGCCUCUUCGGAGGUACUCGAGUGGCGAACGGGUGAGUAACACGUGGGUGAUCUGCCCUGCACUCUGGGAUAAGCCUGGGAAACUGGGUCUAAUACCGGAUAGGACCAUGCUUUAGUGUGUGUGGUGGAAAGUUUUUUCGGUGUAGGAUGAGCCCGCGGCCUAUCAGCUUGUUGGUGGGGUAAUGGCCUACCAAGGCGGCGACGGGUAGCCGGACUGAGAGGUUGGUCGGCCACAUUGGGACUGAGAUACGGCCCAGACUCCUACGGGAGGCAGCAGUGGGGAAUAUUGCACAAUGGGCGCAAGCCUGAUGCAGCGACGCCGCGUGGGGGAUGACGGCCUUCGGGUUGUAAACUCCUUUCGCCAGGGACGAAGCGUUUUGUGACGGUACCUGGAGAAGAAGCACCGGCUAACUACGUGCCAGCAGCCGCGGUAAUACGUAGGGUGCAAGCGUUGUCCGGAAUUACUGGGCGUAAAGAGCUCGUAGGUGGUUUGUCACGUCGUCUGUGAAAUUCCACAGCUUAACUGUGGGCGUGCAGGCGAUACGGGCUGACUUGAGCACUGUAGGGGUAACUGGAAUUCCUGGUGUAGCGGUGAAAUGCGCAGAUAUCAGGAGGAGCACCGAUGGCGAAGGCAGGUUACUGGGCAGUUACUGAC
rnacentral:rRNA from 1 species